UAAAAGUAUUUAAGUCACUCUGCUGCUGUGUUGAUUGUGUAACAAUCACUUCAGAAAUGUAACUAUUUUGAAAAAACAGUUGUACCCCUCCCUUUGUCUAUCAGACUAUCACAAGAAACUGGUAUUUUUCCCAGGAUUUCCCUGGUGGCAGAAGGAAAUGGUAAAGUCCAGUCAAGUCAAAAAGGGCUUAUUUCCUGGAAAGAAAUUUCAUGAAGUUCUGACAAGUUGUCAGACCACCUUGAGACUGAGGUUGAGACAAUGUGGCCUUGGUGAGAGUUCCUACACAUUAGCCAGGAAUGUAUAAUGCUACAUGCUUUUUGUCUUUUAUUUACCCUAAACAUCAUGGACAAACCCUGACGAAUGUCUCACUGGGGCCACUGGAUCACUUUAUUUCUGUUUCUAAUGUGGUCAUAUUAAAUAAAUCGUCUCUUUUACAUUUCUGUGAAUUGAUCUUUUGCCUUACAGAGGAUGGAUGACUGAGGCUGACUUGUCUAGGCUGCCAGAGUCUAGGUUCUUCCCCUAAUAACUCUGAUAAUAGUUAUAUGCGCAAAUAUAUGUAAAACUCUUGGCCAGAACACAGCCUCUACUGAACAAUCCGUGGCCAACAUUGUUUUUCUUGUUACAUUUAAACUCCUCUUCAGCAAAAACAGUUGCUGGGCCAAAUACUCUGACAGUGCCAAGUUCUUGACUUUCAUACUAAAAUACUCAAAGAGUAAGACAAUCCUCUUAAAAGCCUCCCAUUGAUGGGUGGCAAAUCAAUUUACUUAGGUCUAUUCUUAAGACAAAAUGGUAGAAAAUGGAUCCUGUAACUUUAGAAGAAAUACAAUAUUGUUUCUCUCCCUAGGUAUGACAAGAGGUCUCCACAGAAAAGCUUCUACAUUGCCUGUCACUUCUUGAGAACAACGCUGGCUGAGAUUAAACUUUUUUCUUCACUAUUAAUACAUUUAUUACAACAAAAUAUGCUCUUAAAAUUCAUUAGAUUAGAAAAAUGGCUCUGUGCUUAAUGGCACUAUAUGCUCUUCCACAGGAUCUGCGUUCAGUUCCCAGAACCCACAUGAGAGCUCAUAGUCAUCUAAGUCCAGAGAGCUGAACUCUCUCUUUUAGUCUCCUCAAGCACCUACAAUGAACACGGUACACAUACAUAAUUUCCAGGCACACAUUCAUGCACAUAAAAUAAAAUCAAUAACUCUAAUACCAAACCAAAAUCAUUCACAAUCCCAAAAGUUCAGCUAUUGACACUUUAAUGUAUUGGCUAAUCAUGAGGCUAUCUUUACUGUUCUUGGUUUCUUUUAAAAAAAUUGUCUAUUGUCUCCAAAUUCUUUUUUUAUAUUUAUUUGCAUGUGUUUUUUGUCUGUGUGCAUGUGUGUGUGUGUGUGUGUGUGUGUGUGUGUGUGUAUGAAUGCACAUACACACUGCACAGUUGUGAAGUUUCCUCAGAGGUCAGUAAAGGAAGUUAUAUCCCCUAGGGUGGAGUUACAGGAGAUUGUGAGCCUGCCCUUGUGGAUGCUGGGUACUGACCUCUUGGUCCUCCUGAAAAUCAAAAGUAAUAAUUGACUCUCCAACCCUGUCUUCCCCUUCAUUCUUUUAGUCAUUGCCAUUAGAACUUCACCACUAUCACUACCAUCAGGCACUUCAAGAAAAGUCAUCAUGUCAAGAUUCCCAUGGCCUCCAAACUUCUAACUCUGAGCACAGGUUCCUUGGGCUUCUACAAAACUUUCCCACCUAUGACUGUUUAUGUGUGUGCAUGUGUGCCUGUGUGCCUGUGUGUGUGUGUUUGUAUGUGUGACUGAAUGUGUAUAUGUAUAUUUGCAGCCACACAUAUGAAUCCAUAUAGGCUAGUAAACAACCUCAGAGGAUACUGCUCAGGCACCAUCCACCUUCUUUCUGAAACAAGGUUAUAACUGGUCUGAACGCACUAAGUAGGCUAGACUGUAUGACAAAUGAGACCAAGGAUCACUGGCCUCCUUCACCUCAGCACUGGGGUUACAGUCUGGCACAAAUAUGCUAGACUAGUAUGACCCAUCCACCAUGCAGGCUAGGGUGUUGUACUCAAGUCCUCCUUCUUUUAAGGCAAGUGCUUACCAACUUUGGCAGCACUCUAAGAUGUCAUGGCUCCUAAUUCAAGUUUUUUUUUUUUUAAGAUAAAUAUUAUCUCCUUAUAAUGAACUCAAAAAAUAAAGGCAUUGCUUAGCUAGAUUAGAAAAGCCACACAAAGUCUUUGUCACAAUCUCUUUGCCACAAACAACUCUAUACAUCUCAUUGAACUUCUAUGCAACUACAGUAUAGAUUCCGGAGAUAAGGAGCUUCAUUUUAAAUUUAACACAAUUACUGUUACCUUUUUAUACACUUGUUCAACACACACAAAGCAAUGAUGAGAAUUAAAGCCAAAAAUCAAUUAUCUUUGUAUUAUCUUUACUGCUCGUUUGUCUUUACCUGAAUUCUUGCUCUCCUUUCUAAAUGUUAUACUACCAUAAAUACAUUUGAUUUCUUAUAAACAUUUAUAUAUUACAGGCUAGAUCUAAAUAUGAGUGGAAAGGUGGUUUCUAUUUUUCUUAUUUCUGUAAUUUGGUCUUGUACCUUUAUAUCAUACCUCAUAAGUCCAUCCAUUUUUCUGGAAAGUUUGUGCUUUAAUAUUUCCUCAGAGGUGAAUAGUAGUCCAUUUUUACAUAUAUACCAUGUUUUCACUAUCCCUUCAUCUACAAGUUUUAAAGAGAAAGACCUUUUUUCCUUUAUGGCUCUAUUAUUCCAUUUCUGAUGUGUUGUUUUGGACAUUUUAAAAAAUCUUGAGACUCUCCUAAUAAAGCUUUCAUGAACAGGCUAGAAGCUGCUAUUUGCAUUUAUGUAGUGGCAAUAUGAUUUUAGGGUCACAGAUGUCUUGGUCACAUUCAUGGACAUCCUUUGCUGUCGACUCAACAUGCCUGCAUGCACAAGUAUAACUGAGUAGAAUAAAACAAAAUCGUACUGAUUUUACAUACCAAGAUUAUACAGAGAGAAAAUACAUAAGGUGGUAUAAAACAUACUUGUGUUUCUAUAUUUUCAUUUGGCUGAAGGACAAUAAGAAUAAAUAAACACAAACAUGUUCCUGUUAAGACUCAUAGUGAGUACAAGUUUGAGGAGCAAUAUCUAAGCUAUGACAUCAAAGAGAUGACUUGCUGCUCCAGAAAUGGUCAGCCCCACAGAAAGCAAAAUGUCCUGUUUUCUCAAUAACUCCCUUAACUCAUUCUAUUAGUUCACAUCAAUAUAAUUCUGACUCUGAAUUGUACUCAGAAAGCAGCACGGAAGUGAAACUCAAGAGGUGAUUUUUAUCAGUGACUGAUAGCUCCUUGCUGUAGGGGACUCCAGCCUGGAACAUUGUCACUCUGUGUGCCAGAUGCUGUCCAUGGUGACAUACAGGACUCUGGUCAGGCUGAAGCAGCCAAAGAGUUAUUUAUACUCUUCCUAAGAGGAUGUGAGUCAGGUCGGAGAAGGCUGCUGGCUCUCUUUGUAGACCAGUCAUGCUCCAGAGCUGUGGGAAGCUAUGGACUGACUGGAAAUGGACCAAUGGGAAACUAUGGACUGACUGGGAAUGGACCAAUGGAAAGCUAUGGACUGACUGGGAAUGGACCAAUGGAAAGCUAUGAACUGACUGGGAGCAGCAGGUGGCAGAACACUGAAGUCUAGAUUGGCACAGUGAACUCCUGGGGUGCAGUUAGGAGCCAAGGUCAGGGUCAACAAGUGGGAAAUGACUGUUGUAGACUCAAAAAGCUUCCAGUGAUGAAAGCUUUGGGGGAGAAUUCUUUUGCCUAAAGUGUUACUUCUCUAUAAGACAAAAGAUGCUCUCAGGCUCUCAGAUGGUCUUUGUUUAAAUAACUCAUGUACUUUAUUUUUUGUGGAUAGGGUCCUAUGUAUAUUUCAGACAGGGUUGGGGUAAAAGAGAAGAUGUUUUCUAUUGGCUUGGUCUGAGAUUUUAGGGAUGCCUCAUCUGCAUGUGGAAGAGAUUUGGUCAUUGCCCCUAUAUGACUGAUUUUUAAAGUCCUCUCCAUGAGGUGUCAUGGUUAUUGGUUCCAGGUCAGGAACUUGGUAGAAGCACCUACUGUUCUCUAUUGUUCUCAUAUAUGAGAGUAUCAGGGUUUCUGAAUUUACUCUUUUCAAUCUACUGGCACCAUACACUGCCCCACAGACAACCUGCCAGGACUCCUCCCAUCUGAUCCACAGCUCCAAUGAAAGAAAGGUCUCCACAAGCUCCUCAAGAACUUAAAUGCAACCCCUCCUUAGCCAUCUCCAAGACUAACUACCAGGGCCACCACCGGAUGGUUCCCACCACAC
rnacentral:lncRNA from 1 species